rnacentral:rRNA from 1 species
UACGGAGGGGGCUAGCGUUGUUCGGAAUUACUGGGCGUAAAGCGCACGUAGGCGGCUUUGUAAGUUAGAGGUGAAAGCCCAGGGCUUAACCCUGGAAUUGCCUUUAAGACUGCAUCGCUAGAAUCGUGGAGAGGUGAGUGGAAUUCCGAGUGUAGAGGUGAAAUUCGUAGAUAUUCGGAAGAACACCAGUGGCGAAGGCGACUCACUGGACACGUAUGAACGCUGAGGUGCGAAAGCGUGGGGAGCAAACAGG